GCUGGAUGGAGGCCAGUGAAGGCCACAUAGCGGUGGCUGUGGUCUAUAACAUUUGCUGCCUGAAGUAAUUUUGGAGCAUGGACCUAAAGGCCUUUGGAGGCCCCCCUUUCUCCUGCAAAUUAAGCAUCAUCAUGCUCCUCUGGGAGACCACACCACUCGGGACAGACUAAAGAGGAUUUGGGGGCUUCAAGGGGCUGUGGAAGCCCUGGACUUUGGCCCUGAAGUCCAGAAAUAAGAGCACCUCUGCCUGAAGUAGAACCUCAGCCAAGGCCACCUGCUAAUAGAGUGAUGGUUGAGUUGCAGUGCUGUCCCUGAUUACUGACCGACGAUGUGCUACAUGAAGUGGACAGCUUCACCUGCUACACGAAAGAGCCAGCCCUGCUCUCGCCACUUGUCAUGACUGUAUCUCCCAUUGUUCAUGAAAAAAAUUGUUUCAAAAAGGGGUACCUUUAUCAGAUGUGGGACAUAGGAUACUGCCCCUUCCAUCCAUGUGCAAAGUUCCUUUGGACCGUUGGGUUUGUCCUUGAUAUCAGCACUCAGGUUUCCCCAAAUUAAAUAUUUGAUUUCAGAUUUGAAACCGUUUUGAUGAGCAAAGCCAAACACACACAGUACUUUUGCCUGACUUGAAAGAUUAAGGCAAAAAUGGUGGGUCUUGUUCAGACAAAACAGCUGUGGAGUCUGAGGGGAGAAUUUUGACAAGACUCGUGAAAUUUCUUGGAAUGAGGGUAAGGCUGCACCUCCCUAAUUUGUUAUCAUUUUUUUCCCUAAAGGAAAAUUUUAAGUCAAAUUUGUAGGUUCCUACUUGAUCUCUGGCUUUGAGGAAUUUUAAGAGAAGCAAUAAAAUAGAGUUUUAAUAAGGUUCAUGAAAAUACUCAGUGAUGUUCACCACAUCACUGCAUUACAUAAGAGAAACAAUGGACAACAAAUGUUCAUUGGAGCUCAUGUUGACUUACUGUGGUAGCUGUGCAAAAAGUAAAUUUCAGGGUAGGGUUAUUAGGAAAUCAUAAUGCCUUUAUAUACAAUGUGGAGACAAUGGAUAGGAAGAGGUUUUCCCCUCCUAUAAUUCUAGAACUUGUGGUCACCCAAGCAAAUAGAUGGGCAGCAGAGUGAUUCUACUCUACUGGUGAUUCUAUUUAUUGAGAUGAGGAGAGCAACUGGCUCAUUCCAGCCCCAGCACAGUAUCCCUCCAGCGGCUGAUGCUGGUGUCCAUCUUAUGCUUCUUUUUAGAUUGUGAGCCCUUUGGGGACAAGGAUCCAUUUUUUAAAAUUUAUUUUUCUCUAUGUAAACAGUUUUGGGAACUUUUCUGAAAAGCAGUAUAUAAAUAUUUGUCAUUGUCAUCAAGAUAGACAAAAUAAAGUACUUCUUCACACAA